rnacentral:misc_RNA from 1 species
AACGCACCUUGCGCUCCUUGGUAUUCCGAGGAGCAUGCCUGUUUGAGUGUCAUUAAAUUCUCAUUCUCUUCAACUUGGACUUGUUGAGACUGGAUGUGGAGGUUGUUAUAGAGUGCACUUGUGCCUCUAUUCCUCUGAAAUGCAUUAGCUGGAAUGCCUUUGCUAAUCCAACUAUCAGUGUGAUAAUAUCAGUGCUGUUGUUGGUGUAAAGGGAAUCUGCUUAUAGCUGUGUUAGACAACACAAUGUUUGAAUCAUUUUGACCUCAAAUCAGGUAGGACUACCCGCUGAACUUAA